CCUGUUCAAGGGCAAUCCAGGGCGAAAGCGCUGGUGCGCAAAGCCGCGGGGCCUGAAGUCCGGCCGGCCGUGGUUGCCGUG
rfam:Myxococcus stipitatus DSM 14675, complete genome.